rnacentral:rRNA from 1 species
UACAGAGGGUGCAAGCGUUGCUCGGAUUUACUGGGCGUAAAGCGUACGCAGACGGCUUGGUAGGUCGGAUGUGAAAGCCCCGGGCUCAACCCGGGAAUUGCAUCCGAAACCACCUCGCUCGAGUAUGGGAGAGGGAAGCGGAAUUCCUGGUGUAGAGGUGAAAUUCGUAGAUAUCAGGAGGAACACCGGCGGCGAAGGCGGCUUCCUGGCCCAUUACUGACGUUCAGGUACGAAAGCGUGGGGAGCAAAC